rnacentral:rRNA from 1 species
UGAGUAACGCGUGAGUAACCUACCCUAUACACAAGGAUAGCCAUUGGAAACGAUGAUUAAUACUUGAUAAGACUACAGAGUCACAUGGCUCAGUGGUAAAAGCUCCGGCGGUAUAGGAUGGACUCGCGUCUGAUUAGCUAGUUGGUAAGGUAAUGGCUUACCAAGGCGACGAUCAGUAGCCGACCUGAGAGGGUGAUCGGCCACACUGGAACUGAGACACGGUCCAGACUCC